AGUGAACGCUGGCGGUAGGCCUAACACAUGCAAGUCGAGCGGCAGCACAGUAAGAGCUUGCUCUUACGGGUGGCGAGUGGUGGACGGGUGAGGAAUACAUCGGAAUCUACUUUUUCGUGGGGGAUAACGUAGGGAAACUUACGCUAAUACCGCAUACGACCUACGGGUGAAAGCAGGGGAUCUUCGGACCUUGCGCGAUUGAAUGAGCCGAUGUCGGAUUAGCUAGUUGGCGGGGUAAAGGCCCACCAAGGCGACGAUCCGUAGCUGGUCUGAGAGGAUGAUCAGCCACACUGGAACUGAGCCACGGUCCAGACUCCUACGGGAGGCAGCAGUGGGGAAUAUUGGACAAUGGGCGCAAGCCUGAUCCAGCCAUACCGCGUGGGUGAAGAAGGCCUUCGGGUUGUAAAGCCCUUUUGUUGGGAAAGAAAAGCAGCAGGUUAAUACCCCGCUGUUCUGACGGUACCCAAAGAAUAAGCACCGGCUAACUUCGUG
rnacentral:rRNA from 1 species